CGGACGGGUGAGUAACACGUGGAUAACCUACCUAUAAGACUGGGAUAACUUCGGGAAACCGGAGCUAAUACCGGAUAAUAUAUUGAACCGCAUGGUUCAAUAGUGAAAGACGGUUUUGCUGUCGCUUAUAGAUGGAUCCGCGCCGCAUUAGCUAGUUGGUAAGGUAACGGCUUACCAAGGCAACGAUGCGUAGCCGACCUGAGAGGGUGAUCGGCCACACUGGAACUGAGACACGGUCCAGACUCCUACGGGAGGCAGCAGGC
rnacentral:rRNA from 1 species